GUUAUUUAUUUUGGCAUGUUGGUUGCUAGUGGUGGAGAAGACACUCCGGUGAGGUUCCUGUUCAUAUUUGUGAUAACAAACCUGUCAUUCGCAGCAGUAGAAACUCACAAGUGGUAUCUUCAAAAGUUUGAAGACUAUCCUCGCUCUCGCUAUGCUAUCAUUCCAUUUGCAUGCUAGUGACAACAGAAUGGCUACAUUACCUAAAGCAUUCUCUGUACACCAACGCGUCCCGUGAAAAUAUGAGGCCUAGUUCAGAGCACUAAGUAGAGACCUAAUAUCGAGUACCAAGACAAAAAAAAACUAAUGACGCUUAUGCAAUGGUUGUAUUGGGAAAACACUCGUGUCGCUUCAAGAAAUUUAGAAUUUAGAUCGGACCUUAUUUUCUUGUGGAAUAAAA